rnacentral:rRNA from 1 species
GACGACCGGCGCACGGGUGCGUAACGCGUAUGCAAUCUACCUUUUGCUAAGGGAUAGCCCAGAGAAAUUUGGAUUAAUACCUUAUAGUAUGGUGACUUGGCAUCAAGAUAUCAUUAAAGGUUACGGCAAAAGAUGAGCAUGCGUUCUAUUAGCUAGUUGGUGUGGUAACGGCAUACCAAGGCAACGAUAGAUAGGGGUCCUGAGAGGGAGAUCCCCCACACUGGUACUGAGACACGGACCAGACUCCUACGGGAGGCAGCAGUGAGGAAUAUUGGACAAUGGAGGCAACUCUGAUCCAGCCAUGCCGCGUGCAGGAAGACUGCCCUAUGGGUUGUAAACUGCUUUUAUACAGGAAGAAACUCCUCUACGUGUAGAGAUUUGACGGUACUGUAAGAAUAAGGAUCGGCUAACUCCGUGCCAGCAGCCGCGGUAAUACGGAGGAUCCAAGCGUUAUCCGGAAUCAUUGGGUUUAAAGGGUCCGUAGGUGGAUAAUUAAGUCAGAGGUGAAAUCCUGCAGCUUAACUGUAGAAUUGCCUUUGAUACUGG